rnacentral:rRNA from 1 species
UACGGGGGGGGCAAGCGUUGUUCGGAAUUACUGGGCGUAAAGGGCUCGUAGGUGGCCAACUAAGUCAGACGUGAAAUCCCUCGGCUUAACCGGGGAACUGCGUCUGAUACUGGAUGGCUUGAGUUUGGGAGAGGGACGCGGAAUUCCAGGUGUAGCGGUGAAAUGCGUAGAUAUCAGGAGGAACACCGGUGGUGUAGACGGCUCACUGGGACGUUACUGACGCUGAGACGCGAAAGCGUGGGGAGCAAACAGG